rnacentral:rRNA from 1 species
UACGUAGGGUCCGAGCGUUGUCCGGAGUUACUGGGCGUAAAGCGCGUGUAGGCGGUUGCCCAAGUCGGGUGUGAAAGCCUUGAGCUCAACUCAAGAAAUGCACUCGGUACUGGGUGACUAGAGGACCGGAGAGGAUAGUGGAAUUCCCAGUGUAGUGGUGAAAUACGUAGAGAUUGGGAAGAACACCAGUGGCGAAGGCGGCUAUCUGGACGGUUUCUGACGCUAAGACGCGAAAGCGUGGGGAGCAAACAGG